AGCAAACCACCUGCGUGUCACCCUCUGCCUCUCUCACCCCGCUCCCCUCCCCCUCCCAAGCCCUCCUCCUCCUCCUCCAGGCAGCCUCCAUGCCUCCUUCCUCCCUUCCCACCCAGCCAGAUGACCCCUAAGUAUGACCAAGAACCUGCUCCCAGCCAUGAAGGGGAAAACCACCCAGGACUGAUCUGGGUUCCAGGCCAGGCUGGGUGAUUGAGAGAUAAAACUCAGUCUCUCUGGGCCCCUGGUGGCCUCAUCUACAGAAGAGACCCGGACAGAAGCCAGGACACAGACUGCAGGGUGGCCCGGAAGGACUAAUCUUACAAGAUUCCCUAGAGACCACCCUGAGGGCUGGGGCCCCAUCCAUCCUGGAUGAAGCUGAGAACGAGCAUCUAAUCCAGUCCCUCCUCCUGCACUGUGCAAGUGGGGACACUGAGGCUCAGGUCACACAGAGGGCUGAUGGCAGAGCUGAGACCAGAAUUCCCUGGCCCCCAACGAAUCUUCCUUGUGGACUGAGUUGGGGCUUUGCAGCCUGUGCUGGGUGGUUGGUUGGUGGUUGGUUGAUAGCUGGUUGGUGGCUAGUUCUGUGGUCCUGGGGAUUACAUUACAGUCAUGGAGCACCCUC